UUGUCCUCUCAGAAGGCCAGCUGGUGGAGUCUGGAGGAGAUGUCAAAAGGCUCGGAGAGUCCCUCCGCCUUUCUUGUCAAGCUUCCCGGUAUGACUUUAGUACCUAUGGCAUGAACUGGAUAAGACACGCUUCUAGACAGGGUCUGGAAUGGGUGGCAUAUAUAAACAGUGGCGGAGGCACCCAAUACUAUGCCGGCUCGGUGCGAGGACGCUUCACCAUCUCCAGGAACGACCCUUCCAACACGGCGUAUCUGCAAAUGGGCAGCCUGAAACUUGAAGACACGGCCGUGUAUUACUGUGCGAGAGAUGCACAAUGA